UGCCAGCACACCCUCUUUCAAAGAAAGCAGUUUCUAUAGCUUCAUCACCUGAUACCCAAAUGGAACCAGUAGCAAGAAAGUAACAGAAGGGUCUUGUCACUAAUUUACAUUUCCUACUCCAGCUCUUGGUUCCAUCAAAUGGUCUGAUUUGUAUUCAGUAGGGUCACGAUAUCAGAUAUCCCACAUCGAAAACAAAGGAACUGAGCUUCCAUCAAGUGCUUAUAAAAAGAAAAGCUAACAACGGGUAAAACUCACGCAGCCGCGCGGUGCGCACAGAGCGAACUAUUCUUUCGCCUUUUACUAAAGAAUACCGUGUGCGCGCCGCAGAUAGCGGCAUACGCUUAUUUUUGGAGGGUUGUCUUCGUAAGAAUGAGAGCCCCAACAACUCAAGUAUGAAGUUUGUCCCUGCGUUUGGAGUUUUAAUAAUCCGAGCCUGAUAUGAAAUACGAGGAGUAGGUAUUCUAUAAUAAUCGCUAGGCUACAAUUUAAUUGGAAAGGGUCGGAUUUAUUCUUGAGCCCUAAUUUUAUCAUCCUUUCCCUACUAGCGUCGUUUUCCUCUUUCUUCUGUAUUCUCCUUUCAUCUUAUCAUUUCGGAAUUAACAGAGCCCAGGUUUACUCUCUCUAGAACGAGGGCUUUUUCAAUGCGGUAUGAGAUUUGUUUGGGAAUAGAAUUUAGACUUCAUGAGACAUGCUCUAAAUUGCUUGUUCUUGUGUAUUUUUCUUGCUCUUUUGAUUCCAUCCCCAUGAGAACAAUUUCGUAGUUUCAAAAUAAAAGCCUUGAAAAUUGACGCUGCUAAAAGGUUAGCAGUGUCAACUGUCACCAACUGCUCCAGAGUGAAGUACUUAAGAGAGAAAUGUUCAACAAAAUAUGUAUCCAGAGUCGGCUAUGCAACUGCAAAUACUCCAAGCAGCAUAAGGCAUCGCAUUCUGCUGUUGCUGCAUGAGUUUUAUGACCUUGUCAUCUGCUGUAAAUCAAUCCUUGUUGCGGUCAAAUAUGAGUUGGUAUUUCCUCUUGAAAUAAGAGUAGAUUCUAUUGUUCUUGUCUUUUUGUUCCUCACAAAUCUCUUCCAACACCCCAAGUCGGACCAUUAACAACGGUGACAAUAUUGGGCGAUGAUGCAUUGGUCAAGUGACUUGAGGGCUCGAUGCUGAGCUCCGGGAAAUUCUGCCCUAACACUUCCAAAAUCAACCUUCGAAGUUCAUUUUUGGGUACAAACACUUGGGAUGGAAAUGAUUUACAUCCCUCACGGGUUCAGGAUAUUAUUUCUCUAGCAUAUAAUCAAAUAACUUUCGCUCCAUCAACUUUGGAUACACAUGCCUAAUUGGGGUAUAAACUCAAUGGACUAGGAGAAAUACGGGCGUAGGGGAUACAAAAUGACGCGUUGUUGAGAUCUCAACUUUAAGUACCCCACAUCGAGAAACUACAAUAUGUAAACAAGGCCUACGUGUACUAAUAUGAAGCUUGAGAUUCCAGUAACUCUAAAAGAAAAAAGUUGUUUUCCAAGAAGGCAUCGACUGUGGAAGAUCGUAAGAAGUAUGGAAAUUAAAAUCGAAGUCAUACGGAUCCCAAGAUGUAUCACUGUUUAGAGAAGCCCAAUAAAGCGGACACACGCAAAAACGGAUCGCAUUCAUAUAUAAGCUCACGCUGACACGUUAAUUUGCGAUCCAAUUCGGGAUUUUUCUUAGGUGUGAAAAAGCUCUCUAUUGUACCUGAGAUGGGAAUAUUGAGAGAAGAAAAACACAAAAGAUUUCACAUAGCAAAUUUGAUAGG